CUUGGAGCUGCUCAGAUGACGACCGGCGCACGGGUGCGUAACGCGUAUACAAUCUACCUUGUACAGGGGGAUAGCCUUUAGAAAUGAAGAUUAAUACCCCAUAGUUUGUUCUAGUGGCAUCACUAGAACAAUAAAGGUUACGGUACAAGAUGAGUAUGCGUCCUAUUAGCUAGAUGGUGUGGUAACGGCACACCAUGGCAACGAUAGGUAGGGGCCCUGAGAGGGGGAUCCCCCGCACUGGUACUGAGACACGGACCAGACUCCUACGGGAGGCAGCAGUGAGGAAUAUUGGACAAUGGAGGGAACUCUGAUCCAGCCAUGCCGCGUGCAGGAAGACUGCCCUAUGGGUUGUAAACUGCUUUUAUACAGGAAGAAACACCCCGACGUGUCGGGGCUUGACGGUACUGUAAGAAUAAGGAUCGGCUAACUCCGUGCCAGCAGCCGCGGUAAUACGGAGGAUCCAAGCGUUAUCCGGAAUCAUUGGGUUUAAAGGGUCCGUAGGUGGAUAAUUAAGUCAGAGGUGAAAGUUUGCGGCUCAACCGUAAAAUUGCCUUUGAUACUGUUUAUCUUGAAUUAUUGUGAAGUAGUUAGAAUAUGUAGUGUAGCGGUGAAAUGCAUAGAUAUUACAUAGAAUACCAAUUGCGAAGGCAGAUUACUAACAAUGUAUUGACACUGAUGGACGAAAGCGUAGGUAGCGAACGGGAUUAGAUACCCCGGUAGUCUACGCCGUAAACGAUGGAUACUAGCUGUUGGGCUUCGGUUCAGUGGCUAAGCGAAAGUGAUAAGUAUCCCACCUGGGGAGUACGUUCGCAAGAAUGAAACUCAAAGGAAUUGACGGGGGCCCGCACAAGCGGUGGAGCAUGUGGUUUAAUUCGAUGAUACGCGAGGAACCUUACCAGGGCUUAAAUGUAGAGUGACAGACUGAGAGAUCGGUUUUUCUUCGGACACUUUACAAGUGCUGCAUGGUUGUCGUCAGCUCGUGCCGUG
rnacentral:rRNA from 1 species